GUGAGUCAUCGAAUCUUUGAACGCAUCUUGCACUUUUCAGGUCUCCUGAAAAGUAUACUUGUUUGAGUAUCAUAAACAUCUCUCCAAAAGGUUGCUUUUUGCAGCUUGCUGGGAAUUGAGGCCUCAAUGCGCUUGCGCACUGUGCCUUUUAAUGGAAAAGUCGGUGUUCUGUUGUUCGCAACAGAGCUUCCCUAACAAAAUGUGAGAUAGAUAUCGCACAAAGUCGUUUUGGAAGAGUGCCGACGUCGCCCCGAGGCUUGCCUCAACUACUGAAUCAUUGAUCUCAAAUCAAGUAAGACU
rnacentral:misc_RNA from 1 species